rnacentral:misc_RNA from 1 species
UGGUACCAUUCCUAGACACCUUUGCCAAGCUCUUCCUGGGUAAUGUUGCUCCCUUGGAUGGUUAAACUACAAUUGCCUUGCUAAUCUCCACAGAAGCUGAUGAAGAAUCUACCGGAGAAGAUGAUGUUGAGAUUGGUGGCCAAUAAAGGUUGGAUAAUCAGGUCUGCAUAGGGUUUUAAAAAUUGAAAUUUUUUUCAUUUCUAGGGUUG